rnacentral:lncRNA from 1 species
CCCCUCCCCACUUCAGCAACUGUGGCUCUCAUUGCUCUUGAGAAUGUACUUGAGGAGAAGGCCAACCUUCCGGCGGGUCGUGAGUAGGGCUUCCUCGCUGCCUCCCUCCCCAGAUCCCCGCUUUUCCAUGCCACUGUCAGCAGCCGCCUCCAGGCUGAUGUCCCGCUGGAGCUCGUCCUCCUCCAGGGCCUUGAUACGGACCCGAUGGGCAUCCUCAGCCAACUCAUUGAGGCAGCCCUGGAGCAUGGUGUAGACGGUGCCGAAGCUGAUGCCACCAGCCACCAGUGUGCCGAACGUAGGGAUGCCCCUCUCAAAGGCACGGGCCACCUUCAUGGCGCCAUCGGCCGACGGUGAGUAGAGCCGCAGGACGGUCUCCGGCGAGACCUCGUUGGCUAGCAGGGAGCGGGUGACGGAGAGCAGGUCGCCCGGCUGCUUGCCCACCUGUUCGGCCAGCUUGGCCAGCGAGUCGUCAUCCAGGCCGAAGCUGCGGUGGUAGGCGCGCAGUGAGCGGAUGAGCAGGGCAUCGUCAUAGGCGGCUGCCAGCCCUGGCACGGGCAGGGCCUGGAUGAUGCCCGACACCAGGGCCGUCCUGAGCACUUGCUCCCGGAGCAUGGCCUUCUUCUGCUGUAGGGCCUCCAGCGAGAUAUCGGGCAGCGACAGCUGGCCAGCGUGGCACCGGUGGGCAGGCAGGUCAUGCUCCCAGGUGGACACGAGCAUUGGGAAGUCAUCGCAGGAUGGCUAGAGGUUGGACACGAGGAAGAGGCGGGGGUCGGGCACGCCGACUGCCCGAAGCCGCUCCGCACAGUGGUCUCAGAUCUCCUGGAGGACAGUGGCCUUGCUGAAGCCCGAGGGCCGCUGGCUGCAUGUGGCCACCAGUUCCUCGUCCACCUUGGUGCGCACGAAGUAGAACUUCUUGCCCUGGCGCAGGAUCUCAGAGGCCAGGCGGGUCUCCACGGCCCCGCAGCAGCGGGGCGACACCAGCAGGAAGAAGUCGUAGCAGCUAAAGUCCACCUGCUUCAGGUACUUGUUGGCUGGGCAGCCCGGAGAGCCAGCCCCUGGGAGGUCCCACAGCAUCACAUCGGAAAGCUGCGGGUGUGGGUAGGGAGAGGGCUGCAUCAUGGUCUCCACGACACCCGUGAGGGCCGCGCCAGGGUCCUCGGCCCCCAGGCCACGCAGGGCAUUGAUGAGGGACGACUUGCCGGCCCCCAACUCGCCUAUGACGCCCACCUCCAGCCGGAUGUUGUCCAAGGAGGCCAGCAGCUCUCGAAGGCGAGAGGUGGCUUGGGGAAUGUCGCCAGACUCGAAGGCUGUGCGCAAGGCCUCCAGCUCUUCCUUGUUCAUAAGGAUGGUGCUCUCCUCCCCAGGCACGGCCGGCAACUUGAGAGUAGCCAUGGUGACCCGUGGUUGAGAGAGCAGCAGGGGACAAGGGAGUCACAGGAUGUGAUCCUCAACGUCUUUGGAGGAGAAGAGAGCUGGUCACACACCUCGUGGGCCUUGGGGUGGGCAGAAAGAGGGGUAUCAAGGAUGUGAGGCAGCCCCUCUGCAACCCACAGCCCUCUCCUCCUCAGGAACCCGGCAUACACUGGGCACACA